UCAUUCAAUUAAUUUCAAGCCAUUUUUCCAUUUAUCAAGGUCAUUCUGAAUCCUCAAAAAAUCCAUGAAAGUGUCUAUGACUGCCCAGCUUCUUGUCAUCUGCAAAUUUGCUAAUUGUGCAUUCAAUCCCAUCCUACAAAUCAUUAAUGAGGACAUUGAACAAUACUGGAUCCAGACCAGACUUCUAGCAGCCAUAAGCUUCUGCCCAGAAGCUAUGCUACAAGUGUCAAGAUGAGAAGCAAUAAUUACUAGAGGUGCCUCAACUGGAGGGGAGCAGUGGGGAGAAAGGCAACAGCUUUCAAGCCCUUCAGCAAGCACAGAUGUGCAGUACAGAAGCAUUGCAGCUCAGUAGCAGGGCCAAGGGUCUGGCUCAUCCCUCUGUGAGGGUAAGUUGUUGUUUGGUUUUUUUCAGGAGAGGUGAGUAUUAUUUGGUUUUUUUUUUAAAAGCAAGCUUAUAUUUGAGGCUGCUGUUUCUAACACGGUGGGCCUGACCUGUUCUAGAACCGUAAAUUAGUUGCUGUUUAGUUUUUCUGUAAUGUGAAUGAAGAAAGUGUAUCUAUUGAAGCUAACUUUCUUAAACGGGCAAUUGCCAGUGGUAUUAGAUGAGCAUCUAAUACAGCCCUUUUGAUGGUCCUCGCUAGUCAAAGAAUAGACGUGAUUCAAAGCUUCACCUCCUUUCUGCAAACAAUUGUAAAUUAAUA